GACGACGCUGGCGGCGUGCUUAACACAUGCAAGUCGAACGAUGAAGCCUCUUCGGGGGUGGAUUAGUGGCGAACGGGUGAGUAACACGUGAGUAACCUGCCCCCUUCUUUGGGAUAACUGUCGGAAACGGCGGCUAAUACCGAAUAUUCAUAUGCUGUCGCAUGGUGGUGUGUGGAAAGAUUUUUUGGUAGGGGAUGGGCUCGCGGCCUAUCAGCUUGUUGGUGAGGUAGUGGCUCACCAAGGCUUUGACGGGUAGCCGGCCUGAGAGGGCGACCGGCCACACUGGGACUGAGAUACGGCCCAGACUCCUACGGGAGGCAGCAGUGGGGAAUAUUGCACAAUGGGCGAAAGCCUGAUGCAGCGACGCCGUGUGCGGGAUGAAGGCCUUCGGGUUGUAAACCGCUUUCAACUGUGACGAAUUUGACGGUAGCAGUAGAAGAAGCACCGGCUAACUACGUG
rnacentral:rRNA from 1 species